rnacentral:rRNA from 1 species
CGAACGGGUGAGUAACGCGUGAGGAACCUGCCUCAAAGAGGGGGACAACAGUUGGAAACGACUGCUAAUACCGCAUAAGCCCACGGCUCGGCAUCGAGCAGAGGGAAAAGGAGCAAUCCGCUUUGAGAUGGCCUCGCGUCCGAUUAGCUGGUUGGUGAGGUAACGGCCCACCAAGGCGACGAUCGGUAGCCGGACUGGGAGGUUGAACGGCCACAUUGGGACUGAGACACGGUCCAA